GCCUCUAUGGCACAGGGGUAAUGCGUGUCACUCGUAUAGUAAUUAAACUUGCGGUGUUAUGACAAGAUCCGCGGUUCGAUUCCGCGUGGAGGCA
rnacentral:tRNA from 1 species